UUUUCGUCAUUUCAGGUCACUGGGCUUAGGACAAUGGACUAGGCCCAAACAUUUAGCCCCACGCAUGAUAUGUGAACGAGAUCGCAUGAAGUUCGGAUGUCACGCGGAAUGAGUGAAAUUGAGGUUGAGAAGUUAUCAUGUGAGCCGGAAUAGCUUUUAGGCGUACCUGAGGGCUAAAACGAGCCCCAGGCGUACCUGGGGGCUAAAAAUGAGCCCCAAGCGACUUGCAAGGGUUGAAAACCAACCUCAGGUCAUGCUUAAUAGGUGUUUUGAUUGCAAUGACUGAGCGGUUUGAGAAAUUAUCCGAGAGGGAAGCUUGAUAGUGGAUGACGGUUUGCAGAUAGCCGAAGACUUGUCAAAUCUUAGUGAAUUUCUAAGGGCCGAUCCCCUGUAUAUCGCUGAAGGCAUGAUUUGUCUUGGAUUUCGGCUAAGCUUGUAUUAAGAAUUUAUUGAUUACAGUUGAAUGCUAAUUAGCUUGUAAUUAAGCUUAAUCCUCUAUUAGCGAUAUUCUGGGCUCAAUUAACACUUGAGCCCAUCAGAGCCAGGGAUUUGAGGGGAUCGCCUCUCCUCUCCUUUCAAUAUAUGAGUUCCCACCUCAUUUUCAUUUGCCUCACAUUCUUUCAUUUGCCUUAGAGAAAUUCACAAAAUUUUCUCUCCAAUUUCUCCCAAAUCCUUGAGAGUUUGAGUGUUCAAGUCACAUCGCUCGGGUUCAUCCCAAUUCAUCAAGAUCUUCAAGAGGAGUACUCGCCUCGGGGUGCAUUUGACUUGUUUGCAAGAAAGUCUUCCGGCCUCUUUGACCACUUGGCUUAGAGGUACGCCUGUCGUGCUUUUGUAUGUACAUUAGAACAUCCUUCGAGUAAUCUUGAGUUGAGCUGUGCAUGUGUUAUGAACGACCAAGCGACUCAAGAUUAUCCGGAUUCUCUCCCCGACCAUAUGUCUUAUAUGACUUAUCAAAGGAGAUCUGGUCGGGUAUGAGGCUUGUAACAAAUGUGAUUGGUAGUAGUGUUGAUAUGUCGAUUCCUUCGGGUGUGCCACCUUUUUACAUGCCAUCCCCUCCCCCUAUGCAUGAUUUAGGUUUUGAUUAUUACUUACCUCCUUCCCCUUGGGAAGUUUCUCUUACACGUGAACCAACUGUUAGGGAUUGUUUGAACAGAUUGCUUGUUAACGGUGUGGUGACUAUGUCAAGUGAGGAUGACACGUCUACUUCUUCUCUUGAAGCACCGGUGCCCUUUAGGCCGCCUGUUAGGAGGAUUAGUCCCUCCAUGUGCUUCCCUCGGCCACUUGGCUUAGAUCUCUGUCGGAAGGGACUAGGCAUUUGCAAAUUAAGUAUAGUAUUAAGGAGCCUUUUCUCAUUUCUCCCUCUGGGGGUGAUAACACUGUAGAUAACCCUCCGCCCGACUGUAUAGAUAGAUGUAUAUAAUUGUUUGGAUAAUGGGUUGAGGUUCCCUUUGCAUCCAUUUAUUGAGGAGUUGUUAAUAGAGUAUAACUUGUGCAUUACCCAGCUUGUUCCUAACUCCUAGUUGACAAUAAACGCCUUUAUAGCAACUUGUAGUAUACUCGGCGUACCUUGUACCAUCACUUCCUUUAGGAACACCCAUAGGCUUUAGGAAAUCUCGGGUAAUGCCGACAGCCACAGGUGGUAUGCUUUUCACGAUAGGGAGUUCUACCUUACCAUACACACAAAGCCUUUUAGCCAAAAGGGCUUCUGCCACACCUUUCUUUUCAUUUUCCAUGCGAGGGGUUGGAGAAUACCCCGAGACCAUAGCGGCUUACCUAGGGUUGGCUUGAACUAUAAUCACUAGUGGAAAAAAAGACAUUUGCUACGGUUUUUUUUUGAGGUAAUUGCUAUGGAUUUGAACCGUAGAACUAGUGGGCGUAGCGAAUAAGGAAAACUAUAAACCGUAGUAAUUUUAAGUGUUUUGCUGUGGUUUUUUUAAAAAACCGUAGCGUUUUUGCAUUUUUUGCUGCGGUUUUUUUGAAAAAACCGUAACCUUGCUAUUUUAUGCUACGGGUUUUUUGUAUGAACCGUAGCAAUAAGUGGCCCCAAAAAAAUAAUUUUUUUUUCUUUUCUUUUUGCAUUUUUAAAGCUUAAUAAAUGAUGAUUGUAUAAUAUAUAGAAAAAAAAAUUUCAUAGAAUUAAUCUUAAUUAUACAAUGUAAACUUUUUACAAAUAAGAGAACUUUACAAAUAAGACUAGUAGUCUAUUCAACAAACGAAAGCAGCAACAUCAACAACUUUGGACAGCAACAUAUGGACUUUGCACAGUUUGAUCGAAUAAGAACACAAGCAUGCUCGAUCUUUUCACUAGUAGAAAAAGGCAAAUAGGCACUGGCCAUUCAAAACCUACUUAGGGCACCACAGAGGCAGAACAACAGCAGCACAGAAGUGGCAGCAGCAUCAAAGACAGAAGCAGCAUCAAUGUCAUAUAAUGCAUCAACUGCAAUACAUUAACCAGCAAGUUGAACAGUGAGAUAGGACUCAUAACCUGCAACUGCAACAAUGCAGCGACUUAGGGUCAAAAGCAACUAUUUUAUACUUUAGCAUAUUAUAAAAGUAGCAGCCACCUCUUGAAGGUCAAUUAUCGACUCUCAAAUAUAUACAAUAACUCCUGAAUACAAUGAUGGAGCAUGCAAGUUUAUAGCAGUUCAACAAAGAUCAUGCACACAAACACACACACAUACAAGGGGGGAGGGGAGGUAAAAAGAGAGAACUCUGAUCAAAUAUAUCAGUCAUUUGUACAACCUCAAAAAAAUUGGAUCCCUAUAAAAUGUAAUAUCAGAUACCAGAAAAAGGAAAUCAGAUAUCAAAAUUCAGAUCCACAUGAUAAAGAGAUCAAAGAAUAUUGCAGAUAUAUCCUUACUUUGGGAGUAAGGAAAAUAAGAGCAUUAACUCCAAAAAAGGUCAACAAUGAUCAAACACGUGAUAAUAUCAAAAUUAAAGGAUUUACGAAACUGCCACUGUGAGAAACAAAAACGUUUCUCACAGUGAGUAACAGAGAUUUACUGUAUAAUAUCAUGAAAACGUGUUCAGCACAAAAUAGACCUAACCUUGACCAACAGUAUAUCACAUCCAUCAAGUGAAUUUAUAAUUAAUUGAUGAGAUGCAAUAUAGAAAUUAAACAUCCAAACAAACCCAAGAGAUCUGAAAAAUAAACACUGUAUGUGUGUGCGUGUGUGUGCAUUGCAAUACUCAGAUUUCUAUUAACCCAAGGAACCCAUGAAAAUAAGAUAAAAAGAUCACAAACUUAGGCUAUAUAAGGCACUAAGAUAUGAUAUUGUAAUUGAUUAUGAGCGGCCUUAGUAUUUUAGUCAAUCAUAGCAAUAAAGUUCUAGAACUUGGGCCUUAGUAUGCACAAGAUGAAUACAGUAUGAUCAAACAACAAAAAUGCUGUUGAUACUUCCAUUAAGAUGUCUUACUAUCACAACCUCACAAAUAAAUGAAAUAAAAGAAAGAUAAAAAAGAGGAGUUGGUUAGAUGAAUGCAAGCUGAAGGUUCA